CAGCAGCCGCGGUAAUACGUAGGGUGCAAGCGUUAAUCGGAAUUACUGGGCGUAAAGCGCACGUAGGCGGCUUUGUAAGUCAGAGGUGAAAGCCUGGAGCUCAACUCCAGAACUGCCUUUGAGACUGCAUCGCUUGAACGUCGGAGAGGUGAGUGGAAUUCCGAGUGUAGGGGUGAAAUUCGUAGAUAUUCGGAAGAACACCAGUGGCGAAGGCGGCUCACUGGACGACUGUUGACGCUGAGGUGCGAAAGCGUGGGGAGCAAACAGGAUUAGAUACCCGCGUAGUCCCUGUCUCUUAUAA
rnacentral:rRNA from 1 species